rnacentral:rRNA from 1 species
GACGAACGCUGGCGGCGUGCUUAACACAUGCAAGUCGAACGAAGAGCGAUGGAAGCUUGCUUCUGUCAAUCUUAGUGGCGAACGGGUGAGUAACGCGUAAUCAACCUGCCCUUCAGAGGGGGACAACAGUUGGAAACGACUGCUAAUACCGCAUACGAUCUAAUCUCGGCAUCGAGGAUAGAUGAAAGGUGGCCUCUACAUGUAAGCUAUCACUGAAGGAGGGGAUUGCGUCUGAUUAGCUAGUUGGAGGGGUAACGGCCCACCAAGGCGAUGAUCAGUAGCCGGUCUGAGAGGAUGAACGGCCACAUUGGGACUGAGACACGGCCCAGACUCCUACGGGAGGCAGCAGUGGGGAAUCUUCCGCAAUGGACGAAAGUCUGACGGAGCAACGCCGCGUGAGUGAUGACGGCCUUCGGGUUGUAAAGCUCUGUUAAUCGGGACGAAAGGCCUUCUUGCG